rnacentral:lncRNA from 1 species
AUGAUUAAACUCCUCCCGAUGUCCCGAGAAUUGUCCCCAGUCCCUGCCAGAGCCCCGCUGCCCUCAGCCCCGGCUGUGCCGUCCUCUCCCUCACGCCGCCUCAGGGAUGAGAAUUCCAAACUGGAAGGGAAAAGACUCUGGGUUUGGAAGGAAAUCUCAACUCCACCAAGGCCAGCCAGGAAUGGGGAAAGGAGAAUCCCGGACCCAGCGCGGCCCCUCAGGACCCAACAGCCCCUUUUUGGUGACAUUUGGGGCAUUUUCCUUGGAGGUGGAGGAAGAAGCGACCAAAUGACAGAAAAACCCCGCGCUGAGAAACCUCAGCAGGAGAAAAACGCCUCGAGAGCUGCCUGGCCAGCAAACCAGGGAUGUCUUUGGUACCAAUCCGCCAACUCCACGGAAAAUCCACGGAAAAUCCACUGAGGGGCCCUGCUGGGAUGAAGAACCGGAUGCAGAAGGAUGUUCAGAGUGUUUUAAUAACAAAGCAUUCCAAGGUAAGUUGAACAUGGAUCACAACGAGGAGGGGAGGGGGGGGUGGCUUUGCUUCCUGGCGGGCAUGGCGCUUUGUCCCUCCCCUGCUCCGUGCACGCACUCGUGGCAGUUCAAACCAAGCAGGAAAAAAAAAAAAAAACCCAGAAAUAUUCAUAAUAAUAUAUAUUUAUAUAUAUAUUUAUAUCUCCCCCUAGUCAAGGCAUGUUGCAGAGAGUCCCCAAAAGUCCGUGCCGCUGCUGACCAUGCCUUUUUGUUUUUUUUUUUUUGGAGCACCAAUCUCCCCCAAAUUUCUUUUUUUUUUUGUGUAAUGUCCUCAAUAACUUAAGCCAAGAGUCAGCUGCUGCCAGGAUAUCACUGAAACUUAACCCAAAAAACAAAAAAUAAAAGAGUAACUUUACAGGAAAUUUGCA